GGUGGGUAUGGAGGACAUGGACUCUGCAGGCGACAGAUUCCCACCAGAUUCUUCCAGCAAGUCCCCAGAUCCCCUGAGACAGUGGCUGCAAAAAGUUGUGUCACUCCAACCAAACUGAUACCAUCAACUUCAACAAUUUGGUCAUUGACCUGGAUGCUGGAAGACAGAGCAGGAAAAGUAGCUGAGAUGGAAGAAUGAUAAAAACUCACCCUUCACAAUAUCCACAGGAAACACAUCCAUCUUCUCAACCCUCUUCUCC